UUGGGGUUCACCGUUCAGUUGACACUCGACCGAGUCGUUCACUUCUUUCGGCAAACCACGGCCGAUACAGAAUGUACUAUAAAGUUU
rnacentral:lncRNA from 1 species